rnacentral:rRNA from 1 species
AGCUGAACAGACAGAGAGCAGUGGUCGUUU